rnacentral:rRNA from 1 species
UACAGAGGGGGCAAGCGUUGUUCGGAAUUACUGGGCGUAAAGGGCUCGUAGGCGGCCAACUAAGUCAGACGUGAAAUCCCUCGGCUUAACCGGGGAACUGCAUCUGAUACUGGAUGGCUUGAGUUCGGGAGAGGGAUGCGGAAUUCCAGGUGUAGCGGUGAAAUGCGUAGAUAUCUGGAGGAACACCGGUGGCGAAGGCGGCAUCCUGGACCGACACUGACGCUGAGGAGCGAAAGCCAGGGGAGCAAACGGG